CUGCGCCGCCCGAGGGGGGCGGAGCCUGGCCGGAUUGGCCCGCCCUCUUAAGGGGCCAUGUCCCACUUACUUCUCCUUCUUCCUUCAGAACCGCUACUGCUGCCCCUUCUUCAUCCACCAGAAACCCUGUUUGCGCCUUCCUGUGGAGCCAAAGGGAGAAGAGGUGAAGCAGAAGUGUAAGAGGACAGUAAUAGAAAACAUCAGAAUAUAAUUUUCUGAACUUUUCAUUGAAGUAUAACAUGCAUCCAGAGAAGUGCAAAGACUUGGGCAUUUUACAAAGUGAAUAUACCCAGCACUGAGAUCAAGAAACACCAUAAUCAGGAUCCGGAAGUCCCCCCAAAUAUCAGAGGCAAAGACUUCUGAAGGCCAGUGCUCCAACCUGAGAAAGCUGUGGAGGCUGUGGUUCAGGCCCGGGGAAUGAGCGUGGACGAAGUAGAAUAGUAUGCUGACUAGACCAGUGCUUCUCAAACUGCAGUGUGCCACUGAAUGACCCAGGCGUCUGGUUGAAAGGCAGGUUCUGAUUCAGCAAGCUGGGAAGGGGAUGCUGCGGUUCUACAUUUCUGUCAAUCUCCUACACUUGGUUAGCAAGGCCUUGAACCCAGAGAUUCUCAAUAAUGCUGUACAUAAGAAUCACAUGGGAAGCUUUUAAAAACACUGCUCCCCAGGUCCCACCCCAGAACAAUUCAGUUGGAAUCUCUGGAGUGGGGCUCAGCAUCCAUAGGUUUUAAAAACUCCCCUGGUGAUUCCAGUGUGCAACCAGAGACAGUGGGUGCUGGUUCCCUGGAGUACCCCCAGUGCCUGAGCUGAGGUGGGAGGGAAGUGAGGAGUGGGGUCAGGUCUGGUGUCUGAGCAAAUGAUCCAGUAUCACAAAGGGCAAGAGAUUUCUUAGUCAGGAAUGGACCAUUUGCCCCUUAGUGGAGGUGAAGGGAGGGAUUUCUGAAGGAAUUCUUUGGCGUGGGGCUAUCUGCUAACCCAGGUCACGUCCUCCCAGGACCAAGAACAGACCCGUGCCUUGACCUUUUCAAGCAAGUCAGAGCUCCCCAGAGCUGCUCUGGGGGCUGGGCUCACAUGCCCCCAAGCAGUUCAGACAUUUUCAGAACCUUACUAGGACAGUGGGAGGAGGUGCUGCCAGCUGCUCCCACACCCUGCCCCCUCUGCCCUGCUAGAGAAAGAGCCAGAUGAGUCCAGAGAUUACAAGCCCUGGAUCAACAUGGACUAUUCAGGAUGAAGCGCCAUAGUCCUGGGUUCUGACGCCCUCUGGUGGACACUUAGAGUUGAAGUUGGUAACCAACAGACUACAGUGUCCAGGUCACUUCUUCAAGCUUUACUCCCAUCCACAGUCUGCUUGCCUGUGUUUACUUUUUAAGUCCUCAGGCUGUGCACGUGGCUACUAAUUCUGACAGAGGAAAGCUUGGACAUAGGAUGUACACCAGCAAGAGUGAAUCGUAAUGUCAACUAUGGACGAUGAUGUGUCAAGUUAGAUUCAUUGAUUGUGACAAAGGUACUUCUUGGGGGUGGGGCUCUCAGGAUGUCGAUAGUGGGGGAAACUGGGGUGGGAGCAGUGUGCAGGCAGGGAGUAUAUGGGACCUCUCUGUACUUUCUGCUCAGUUUUCCUGAGAACCUAAAACUGAUCUAAAAAGUGUAUUAAAAAUGACAACAGUGUUCAAGCAUUUUAUUAAAUCAGGUAAGGAAUCUCCACAUUGUUGCACAUACCAGAUUGUAUACAAUUAUAAGGGCAUAUCACUUGUUUACAAAGACACAGCUGAGCAGUAAGUUGACAAGUCUAAUAAACCAUGUUUAGCCAACUAAAAUUUCAAGAACAUUCAAAAGGAAACACAAUAAAGGUCAUGCAAGUUCUAGAAUAGUGAAUCAUGACAAAGCUCACUCAUUUUAUGCUUUACCUUCAAAAUGCACAUGACAUCUAAAACCAGAAAAAAUCUGAAGACCAGUUGGUUGUCACUAGUCAGAUACACAUUUCAUUCAGGAAUAUUAAGCCCCUUACCACUUACUGACUUUUUUGAUUGUAAAUAACUUAGUCCUAACUACAGAAAAGUUUUGAAGAGAUGUACUAUUGUAAAAUGUAUGCCCAUUGUUCAUAAUAUGCCUUGAAGUCACUGAACUUUCAUUAAAAUACGAUAAAGCAUGAUACUCAAACCAGGAAUCCCAGCUAUGACCUUUUCACUUACCACUAAAUAUCAGUUCAAGAUAAAACACUGUAAAGACUAAAAUAGACUGUGAAUGGUCAAAUCAGUGAGACUGUAUUAAUCUACAUCUAUUUUAACUUACAUAAAUGACAUUCAGUUUAAGAAUCUGAAGAGACCCUAUGGACUUUUUCUUAGGUGACAGUAUUGAACUGCCUUAGAACAAACAGCUGAUUAUCAAUCAGGUUUAUAAUGAUGGCUGAGUAGAAAAUAAAGUCCUAACUGAUGUAGCUUCAAACUUAAUUUGUUCACAUCUAUGUUUAACUUAUAACCACCAAAUCCUAAUGGUUGGGGAGACAUGAUCAAAUACCUUUCUGCAAGCUUCAUCUCCCCACACCCUCUGCUCGUCCCUCCCCCCGAAACACCUAUAUAAGUUUCCCCUGCUUUAAGCUAAAAGGUCAAUUCUGGAUUCAAACUUGUAUGAACUAAGUUUAUAGGAGAUAACAUGCAAAUAAGGGGAUAAAGUUAAAUUCAUUUGACAACAGCAAACAUUAUAAAUGUAUGCUACUAUCCCGCUAAACAGAAGACCUGGGGAAACCACAAAUAUAACAAAACACAAUGUUAGGUUUAAAAACAAAGACCCUUGAAGGAAGUAAUUUUAUUUUACAGUGGCUGAAGUUAUCCACCAAAUGCUUAAUGACCUCCAUGUUUCUGCAACUAAAACUAAAAGAGAAUUAUAGGGAGUUGGGAAUACAUGUUAGAUACUAACGAUCUUCAAGCUUUGAAGACGUCAUUGCAUGAAGAAAAUUAUGGGAAACACUGUUCCCGAUAAUUACGUACACCCUUAGUGUAACAUAUGGAGAUCACUGUCUCCGAUAUAGACACUGUGGUAGGCAAAAACUACCUUGUUCUUUAAACAUUAUGGAAGACACUGCUCCCGAUAAUGUGAGUUAGGUUUGUGACAAAGGUACUGGAAAUUUUGCAAAAUUCGAAUUAAAGUUACACCUUGGAUAAAUUGAGCUGUAAAAUUUUGCAUGUAUGAGUACGAUCACAGCUUUUAAGUGACAUUAAUUUAUAACUUGGUCACAAUUCACUGCAUUUAGGGGAACCGCUCUUUUUAUCUGGUUAGCUAAAUAGAAAUUUAACUUGAUUAGCAACCAAUAAUUAAAUUUAAUUCUUCUCCAAGACUUAGCUUUAUAAUUUUAUUUGGCUUGCGGUUGUUUUCUAACACGUGUAAGUGUCGACCACAAAUGCAAAACUUCCAGUAUCUGUUGGGUUCUAUUAGCAGAUGCUGCUAUUAUUUUAAAAAAAAAACGACAGUAUAACUGUCAUAAUUAUGGAAGGCACUGCUUCCGAUAAUUAUCUUCUAUAAAAAAAACACCAUUUAUAGUGAACUCUGUCACUGAUAAAUAAACAAUAAAUAUCUCAGUGCCAAAAUGACAGGAAGCUUUUCCAAAAAAUUAACACUUUGGCCAAAAUUUGGCAGUGUGUUCUUUAAAGUCUGACGAACUGAGUUUGAAAUUAAACACCUAAAACUUGGUUCUCUUUCAAAAUACCUUGGAAAAAACUAAAACAAAAAACUAACAAAGGUUUAUGGGACAAGGGACAGAGGAAGAGAAAAUAUACUAGGUCUUUGGCUUCUGGUCUCCUCUUUUCAAACAAACAUAAUCUUGAGGUUAACACAUUAAGGCCUUACUCCUGUGAUAAACAGUUGAGCCUCCUUUUAUGCAGCUGAAGGACCUCUAUUUCAGACCUCACUGGCAAGAAAACAAGUCCCAUCUCUUCUGAAAGUGAACUGUUUCACUUUCAGAUGUGGAAACGAGCUAAAUCCUUAAAGAAGACAGAGAUCUCAUGUGGAGAGUAAAGCCUUACAGCCUGGGAUCUCCUAUCUAGCAUCCAGUGAAGGUGGAGGAUCCCUCUAAGCUACCACUUUCCACCUUCCUCCUCCAUUCAAAAGAUACCAGUUCAUGUACUUAGGAUUUAGAACAAUAGUUCACAUAACUGGUUCUGACUUUUUCAUAACUGUAACAGGAAAGAGGCAGUUACCAUUACAAAGCACUUAAAAC